UUGGAGUAAAAAGCCUUCAGCAGUGCUUCA
rnacentral:piRNA from 1 species